rnacentral:rRNA from 1 species
AUUGAACGCUGGCGGAAUGCUUUACACAUGCAAGUCGAACGGCAGCACGGACUUCGGUCUGGUGGCGAGUGGCGAACGGGUGAGCAAUGUAUCGGAACGUGCCCAGUCGUGGGGGAUAACGUAGUGAAAAUUACGCUAAUACCGCAUACGAUCUAUGGAUGAAAGCGGGGGAUCGCAAGACCUCGCGCGAUUGGAGCGGCCGAUAUCCGAUUAGGUAGUUGGUCGGGUAAGGGCCCACCAAGCCAACGAUCUGUAGCUGGUCUGAAAGGACGAGCAGACACACUAGAACUGAGUCACAGUCCAGACUCCUACGGGAGGCAGCAGUGGGGAAUUUUGGAAAAUGGGCGAAAGCGUGGUCCAGCCAUUCCGCGUGCAGGAUGAAGGACCUCGGGUUAUAAACUGCUUUUGUACAGAACGAAGAGGUUUCUACUAAUACUAGGAGCUCAUGACGGUACUGUAAGAAUAAGCACCGGCUAACUACGUGCCAGCAGCCGCAGUAA